CAAUUCGCGUAAAGCCCUAUUCCUCGCAAUAAUUACGACAGCGAAUUCUACUACUUCCGCUUCUUAUACUUUGCUUGGUCACCACACAAUAUAAAAAAAUGUUAAACACGUAGACAUUGUACGGUUUCCGUUCAUCAACGAUCGCAAAAUCCCUGUAGUCAAUGAUGACUUUUGCUUUUCCGAUCGUUUCCGAGAAUUACGUUCUUUCGCAAUUGUUCAACCCGCUGCAUUAUCCCAUUGCUUAUGCUGACAAGCGAACGCGAAAUUCGAAACUUUGGUCACGUUAAUUUUAUAUAUUGCGCCCACAUACGCCUAUCGUGGAUAUUGAAAAACUUUUGAAACUGUACAUACUACAGUCGUGAAUAUACGUUUUAAGUAUAGCACGUAAUGAAAUAGAUUAAAAUGAAUACAAUAGUGUAGUCCAAGAUAUACGCGAGUACAAUAACUUCUCAAUUUUUUAGUUGGUGCGUACCCAUAAUUAUUGUAUAAUGUGUGAUGCGCAGGUAUACGUCUAAAAAUAUAUAUCAAUUGUACAUCACUAUAGUUCUUUUCAACAUUUUUCAUAAGACAUUUGCGUACCGUUAAAUGAUUAGGUCAUACAUCAUUUGUGCAUCAAAAUGUUUUAACUACACAAGGCCUGAAAGGAAUAAGGAGUACCCAAAACCACAAAUUGUUUCCUAACUUUAAUCAUAAAAAAGCAGGACAACUUCGCACGUGGGUGGGCCACUGUUGUGGGUAAACAUUUGGGAAGGUAGUAGAGG